UACAUGUGGGGCAAGCGUUGUUCGGAAUUACUGGGCAUAAAGGGUGCGUAGGCGGCUUGUUAAGUCAGGGGUGAAAGUUUUCGGCCCAACCGGAAAAUUGCCUUUGAUACUGGCGAGCUGGAGUGCGUGAGGGGUGACCGGAACGAGUGGUGUAGCGGUGAAAUGCGUAGAUAUCACUCGGAAGGCCAACGGCGAAGGCAGGUCACUGGUGCGCAACUGACGCUGAGACACGAAAGCGUGGGGAGCAAACAGG
rnacentral:rRNA from 1 species